UUGACAUGAAGAAGCAGCGGCGGCUAGGGCGGCGGUAGCGGCGAGAGUCGCGGCUUGCAGCGGGACUAAGUGCGGAGAGCGCGACGCGGCCUAGAGCGGCAGACGGCGCAGUGGGCCGAGGAGGAGGCGCAGCAGCCCCCCUGGCCCGCCAUGGAGAUGGAAAAGGAGUUCGAGCAGAUCGACAAGGCUGGGAGCUGGGCGGCCAUUUACCAGGAUAUCCGACACGAAGCCAGUGACUUCCCAUGUAGAGUGGCCAAGCUUCCUAAGAACAAAAACCGAAACAGGUACAGAGAUGUCAGUCCCUUUGACCAUAGUCGGAUUAAACUUCAUCAAGAAGAUAACGACUAUAUCAAUGCUAGUUUGAUAAAAAUGGAAGAAGCCCAAAGGAGUUACAUUCUCACGCAGGGCCCUUUGCCCAAUACCUGCGGUCACUUUUGGGAGAUGGUGUGGGAGCAGAAAAGCAGGGGCGUUGUCAUGCUCAACAGAGUGAUGGAGAAAGGCUCGUUAAAAUGUGCACAGUACUGGCCACAAAAAGAAGAAGAAGAAAUGAUCUUUGAAGACACAAAUUUGAAAUUGACAUUGAUCUCUGAAGAUAUUAAGUCAUAUUACACAGUACGACAACUAGAAUUGGAAAACCUCACAUCUCAAGAAACUCGAGAGAUCUUACAUUUCCACUAUACCACGUGGCCUGACUUCGGAGUCCCUGAAUCGCCAGCCUCGUUUCUGAACUUUCUUUUCAAAGUCCGCGAGUCGGGGUCGCUCAGCACGGAGUAUGGCCCCAUUGUGGUGCACUGCAGCGCUGGCAUCGGCAGGUCGGGGACCUUCUGUCUGGCUGACACCUGCCUCUUGCUGAUGGACAAAAGGAAAGACCCUUCUUCUGUUGAUAUCAAGAAAGUUCUGUUAGAAAUGCGGAAAUUUCGGAUGGGACUGAUCCAGACAGCAGACCAGCUCCGUUUCUCCUACCUGGCUGUGAUCGAAGGCGCCAAGUUCAUCAUGGGAGACUCUUCAGUACAGGAACAAUGGAAAGAGCUCUCCCACGAGGACCUGGAGCCUCCACCCGAGCACAUCCCCCCACCUCCCCGGCCUCCCAAACGAAUCCUGGAGCCGCACAAUGGGAAGUGCAAGGAGUUCUUCCCAAACCACCAGUGGGUGAAGGAUGAGACUGAGGAGGUUAAAGAAGAUGGCCCCGUCAAGGAAGAAACCAGAACCCUCUUGAACGUCCCCUGCAGCCUGGAAAGCGCGAGUCAAGACACUGAAGUCAGAAGGCGGGUCGUGGGGGCAGGUCCUGCCCAGGGGGAGCCGUUGCCGUCCAAGGAGGAGCAGGACCAGGCGCCGACUCACUGGAAGCCCUUCCUGGUCAACGUGUGCGUGGCCACGGUCCUCACGGCCGGCGCGUACCUCUGCUACAGGGUAUGUUUUCACUGACGGACGUGCUGGCCAGACCGCGUGUACAGCAAGCCCUGGCCGCCAGCCCGGCGGUAGCGCUCAGUGCUGCGGGAGCCUCUGAGCCAGCCUCAGAAGAAACAGAUCAAAGGUUUGCAAAGUCUGGGACUGUGAAGGGCUAACGAGAGAGAAUUGAGGAUUGAUGCACCGGGGUCUUAAGGAGCCCUGUGGUCCCAAGAAUAGAAGAGUCUAAUCUCAGGGCCUUAACCUAUUCAGGAGUGGUGUAACCAGAUACACAAUUUUUAUUUGAUUUCCCAGGGAAAGACUCCCACACUUUUGCGAAUGUAAAGUCCUUUGGAGGAGAGGGUUUGAGGGUUUCGGACAUCGUCUUGCUCAGGCGCUUCCUCUGCUGAGCGCUCACUGAGCUGGGACAGUGCCUGCGAGCUUUCCCGUUUUAAGAAGAAAAACAACAAAAGGCCGUCUCUAGAAAACAGAACCCGGCUUCUGCUUUUGCUCAGGGUGUCCCGCUGGUCUCCCGCUGUCCACUCCUCCACCGGCCCCCUCUCGUUACAGCCGUCUUGCGCACGUCCUGCCCCCAUUGCUCCAUCCCCACAAACAGGGUUCCUCAGGGCCCCUGCCUCAGGGUCAGAGGUCACCACAGGGUGGCCACCGGCUUUUCACCCAGCCAUUGAGAUCCAGAAGGAGCAGUUUCCACUUUGCUUGGAAUAUAAAUGCCAUUUCAGUAGAAAUCCACACGUUAGAAUGUGUCGCCGUUAAAGUUAAGGAGAAGAGCAAGGAUUAGCUUCAAAACUCUGGUCGUGGAAAUCACCUCACAAGACUUCUUUUUUUUUUUUUUUAAUGAUUUAAAAUAUUUUACCUCUUUCUAAGCAACCACCUUUGAGUGCAUCCGAUGGUUUAGCAACGUGCAGACAGCUUUUUCCUCGGGGGUGAUCUUGGGAAGGGGGAGCUGUUGUAAAAGAUAAUAAUAGUAAUAAUAAUAACCAAAACCCCCUUCACGGGGGGCUGGAGUGGCCAGGGUGGCCGAGGUGGUGCAGGAGCCUGCAGCUCUGCAGGGGCGGGGCCGGGCCCGUCUGAAAACGUUUGGUUUCAUUCCGGUUCCUGCUUGACAGCCACACAUAAUCUGACCCACCUCCACCCACGGUCCGCCUCUGCUCGUAGAGCCCGCAGCUGCCUAGCAGGCAGCCGCUAGGCGAGGGCCGUCGGACAGCGUAGCCCGCCGCGCCCCGACGGACGCUGGUUCUGCACUAAAGCCCCCCUCUCCAGGCGGUUGGCCUCAUCUCCAUCCUUCUACUUUUCUCCCCCCCGCCUUCCUCUGAAUACCAGAUCUACAACCCAUUUUUUGAGGAGGGCACAGAGGGCGCUGUGCUGGUGGCGCAGAGCAAGGCGGCCUGUGCGGGUGGAGGGGCGAGCCUCGCGUGGUGCCCCCUCGGCACGUCCCUGGCAGGCGGCAAGCGACAUCCUUCCCGCGGCCCUCCCUGGAGACGGCGUGUAGUGAGCCUCUCCACUCCAUGUUUAUUUUUUAAUUCUUUUCUCCUGAAGGCAUCCACAGUGCACUAGCAUCUUCAUAAACCAAUAAUGUAUUAAAGUUUUUUGAUGUCAGCCUUGCAUCAAGGGCUUUAUCAAAAAGUACAAUAAUAAACCCUCAGGUAGCACUGGGAACGGAGGACUUUGCCGUGAGCCUGCUGCGUCAGACCAGUACUAGGAAGGAGGACGGUUGUAAGCAGUCGUGAUUUCAUUGGGUAACACGAGAAGAGGUUUACCUAUGUUUAUAGGACAAAGGGAUAAUAUAUAAUGAACACUUGGCUAUUUAAGACACAUGGCAUGAGAUUACUUUGUCCCGGUUCCUCCCCUCCCCAGUUGUCUGCUCGAACCUCGAUCUCAGUCACCGCUCUUCCUGUGUGUAUUAGGAUGCAUGUACGGUCUUCUUGUGUCCCGAUCAAAUACCACGUGCUUGAAAUCCUUAGAUCUCUGCUUACUGAUGCGCUCCGUGUACAAGUCCAGUCUACCUUUGCAUGAGCUGAGCAUUACGUGGCUCUGGUUCCUAAGACCGUUGCUGAAAUAAUCGCCAUUCGGCAGCGGAGUGAUGUUGUCCAGUAACAGAUAUUUGCCUAAUUCCUGGCAUGACACUCUGGUGACUUCCUAGUGAGGCCCAGCCUGUCCUGGUCCAGCUGGGCCCCACUGUAACUCAGACAUUCCAGGGGUAUGGGAAGCCAUAGUCACACCUCACGCUCUGGACAUUUAGACAAGCAGGGCCCCCCACGACACACACACCUUUGGGAUCAGCCUCCACUGUGCCAAGUUCACACUCUUCUUGAGCGGACCGUGAUCUGGAACCAAGGUGACUGUUGGAAACCACACUUCUUGAAACAGCCUGGACGACGGUCCCUUCGAGUCAGCCUGCGGCCCUUUAGGUCCGGGGGCCUUGCUGAGAGAGGCGUCUGCCCCUGCCCUUGAACCCUGGGCACUGAUGGUGCUCACGACUCUUCCUGCGAGGGGAACUUAAGACCUCCGCAUUAAGUGGCUUUUUUAACAAGAAAAAAAAAAAAAGGCAGCUAUAGCUCACGAGCUGCUCUUUUGCCAGCAUUUUCACAUUUUGCCUUUCACGUGUUAGAAGCUCGUGCAGAGAAAUUCUGUGGUGGGAACAUUUGAGGCAUCGCCCCGCAGAGCCUUGGUGAGGUGUGGAUAAGACUGAGGUGCCAGGCUGUAAGCAUUUUUGAGUUGGGCUUGUUUGUCUGUUAUUUUAAGUCCUGUAUAUGUAUGUAGUAGUUUGGUGUGUAUAUAUAGUAGCAUUUCAAAAUGGAUAUACUGGUUUAACCUCCUAUCCUUGGAAAACAGAUGGUUCUCCAUCUUGUCACACGUAUGUUAGAGAAGUAGCGAGCUGCUCUGCUAUAUGCCUUAAGCCAAUAUUUACUCAUCAGGUCAUUAUUUUUUACGAUGGCCAUAGAAUUAAACCAUUUUUACAAAAAUAAAAACAAACAAAAAAAGCGAGGUGUUUUGGUAUGAUACCUUUUCAGGUGUGUGUAUACGUGGAUGCAUGAUGGGGGGGCGGGGGGCGCGUCUCAGGGUCUUCUGUGACCUCACAGAACUGUCAAACUGUACAGUUUUCCAACUUGCCAUAUAAAUGAUGGGUUUGCAUUUUAGUUGCAACAAUAAAAAUUUUUUUCUAAAGAACAUG